UUAUUGGAGAGUUUGAUCCUGGCUCAGGAUGAACGCUGGCGGCGUGCCUAAUACAUGCAAGUCGAGCGAAUGGAUUAA
rnacentral:rRNA from 2 species